UUAUGGGUUUCUUGAUGAUUACAUCAUAAUAACUUCGUGAAUCUUAAAAGCAAAUCUGAAAUUGUUGGCUCAAGUUAUUUGGUCCAGGUGUCAAGUGGAACAGAGGAGGUGAAAGAUUAUGAUCAAAAGUCUAGUAAUACUGAACUGAGUCAGAAGCAGAUGGAAGGAGAACCUAUCAGUCAGUCCCUAACCCCACACCGAAGAGCAUCUAUCACAUAAGCAGAAAAUUAUUACUGAUGAAAAAAGAAAACAGUACAAAAAAUGGGAAAUCAUCCUUUUUAUAGAGAUAUAUCAAGUGAGCUUGAGACAGAAAAAGCGAAAUAUUGCUCUUAAUGCUGCAAGGGAGGCAAACUAUGAGAAAACAAG